rnacentral:rRNA from 1 species
GCUUAAAGAGGGGUUAAUGUCCUAUCAGCUAGUUGGUGGGGUAAUGGCCUACCAAGGCAAAGACGGGUAGCCGGCUUGAGAGGGUGGUCGGCCACACUGGGACUGAGACACUGCCCAGACUCCUACGGGAGGCUGCAGUCGAGAAUCUUUCGCAAUGCCCGAAAGGGUGACGAAGCGACGCCGCGUGUGGGAAGAAGGCCUUCGGGUUGUAAACCACUGUCGGGAGUUAGGAAAUGCAAGAGCGUUAAUAGCGCACUUGCUUGACUAAGGCUCCAGAGGAAGCCACGGCUAACUCUGUGCCAGCAGCCGCGGUAACACAGAGGCGGCAAGCGUUGUUCGGAAUUAUUGGGCGUAAAGAGCACGUAGGCGGCCUUGCAAGUCAGUUGUGAAAGCCUUCCGCUUAACGGAAGAACGGCAUCUGAUACUACAGGGCUUGAGUACGGGAGGG